GUUAGUAUUUAUUUAAGGUGCUGGCUUCUUCAGCCACGCUGAUAAUCUCUCUCAGUAAUUGCUAGAGCAUGCCCAUAGGAAUUUGAAUUUCAGGGCAUUAGAUCCUUUAAUGACUUUGGGCUCUUGCAAUAGAGGAAGCUGGGAUAGAAGAUCCACCAGCAAGCCCCUAAACAAGAGGAAAUCGGUACAUCUGAAGACUUACAGGGCAGGCAGGUCUCUGAGUUUAGAGGAGUGGAUCUAAGGCAAUGCUUUAGGACACUAAUCCUAUAGUUCCAUCCACCUUACCUCGGCCAGUACCUGCUGGGAGUUCAGCAGCUUGGAGAAGCUAUAGAUAGAAUGUAGGGCGUGGCCACAGCCCCUCUACAGUGGCAGCCUUUGGCAUCUAACAGGCCUGCAGGAGGAAGGUGCUUAGAGGCAGCCCAGGUGGCUUGAGGCUGCCUUUACCUGAGUCUUAGCGAUUCCAUCUCCUCUCAUCCCCAUAGUUGUGCAAGCCAGCUCCUCUCAGCCCCGAGCUUUUCUUCCUUUCUAUCUGAGACAAAGUCUCACUCACUCUGUAGCCCUGGCUGACCUGGAACUCUCUAUGAUCAGGCUGUUCUCAAACCCGCAGAGACCCACUUGCUGGGUUUAUCAUGCAACACCAUAUUCUAGUAUUCUUCUCAAUGAGAUCCUUCCAUGCAUCUCUUCUCUGUUAUUGUUGUUUUAUUUUAUUUUAGUAUUAUAUGUGUGUGUGUGUUGCAGGCAUGAAUGUUUGCACCAUCCUCAUACUUGUCACCCUUGGAGGCUAUUGGAUCUACUGGAACACUUACAGCCAGUUGUGAGCCAUCAUGUGGGUGCUGGGACCCGAAGCCGGUCCUCUGCAAAAGCAACAAGUACCCUUAACUGCUGAGCUCUCUCUCCAGCCCCAUGCCCAUGCCACGCGUUGCUAAUACAGUCAGAUGGUUCUGUCACAUGCCACAGUUCUUUCUAAAUACUCUGGUUUUAAAUAUGCACAUAUUAAGCCUUAUUCUGUGUUAUGCAAUACGUAAGACGAUGGAUCCACAAUUACAAAUUUUUAAAUAAAUAGCGAUUGAAGGAAGUUUCAGAUUUCCCCUCAUUUAACAAUGCCUGAUACAUAUUAAAGACUAUUAUCUAAGUUGGGUAAAUUCUCCUGAGGUUUUGUAAAGCCCUGUAGGAUCGGAAGAACUUGAAACAGUACUAUCUGGUACCAUACAUCUCAAACCUUGUCCCUUCUCCAGAAUCCAUUCAUUUCUGACACUGUAGCCUUACUCCUUUGUGUCACAACAGCAAAUGAGUUGUGAGGUCCACAGAGACAGGCAGUAUUCCUAGAAACCUGUCUGGCUUUCAACCUAUCUAUAAGAGCCAUGUCAAAGAUCUCACUAGUUCUGACCAGUCAUAGUUUAAAUGUCUUAAAAUAUUUACACUUUCUUGAAACUCUGUGACAACGUAGACACAUUGCUAGGAUUCUUCGCAAGGACUGGUUACAAAAUUUAACAUUGUGGGUUCUGACUGGGUUCCUCAAUCAGAUUCUACCUUUGCAUUUUCAGUAACUACUCACUGAACUCUAAAUAAUGCGAAAACAGGUGCUCAGUGAAAAAUGAACCACCCAUUCC
rnacentral:lncRNA from 1 species